rnacentral:tmRNA from 1 species
GGGGAUGACACGGUUUCGACGAGAGGCUCGUGCGGCAGGCCGCGCGCCGGGUGGUGUCCGAUACGCCCGUGACACCCAUCGGAACGCAAUUGUAGCUGCGAACGACUACUCCUACUCGCUGGCCGCGUAAUACACGCCGCUAGCUGUUCUGUACACCGGACGCUCACUAUCGACGUACAGAGCACCGACUAGAGUGAGCUGGUCCCGAAGGCUCCGGCUGAGCCCGACGGACGAGAGCUAAUCAGCCUGCGCUCCACCGGAAGCCCGUCAGCGGGCCCUGCCAGCGGAGCAAAGACCUCAAAGCGCUGACUACGCGCGUAGACGCCUGGACUGUAGCGCCUUUCGGACCCGGGUUCGACUCCCGGCAUCUCCACAU